GACGUAGGGCGCGAGCGUUGUCCGGAUUUAUUGGGCGUAAAGAGCUCGUAGGCGGCCUGUCGCGUCGUCCGUGAAAACCCACGGCUCAACUGUGGGCUUGCGGUCGAUACGGGCAGGCUGGAGUUCGGUAGGGGAGACUGGAAUUCCUGGUGUAGCGGUGAAAUGCGCAGAUAUCAGGAGGAACACCGGUGGCGAAGGCGGGUCUCUGGGCAACAACUGACGCUGAGGAGCGAAAGCCAGGGGAGCAAACGGGG
rnacentral:rRNA from 1 species